AAGGUUUUAGCUUAAUUAAAGUGUCUGGGUUGCAUUCAGAAGAUGUGAGAUAGAGUCUUGCAAAUUUUA
rnacentral:tRNA from 1 species